UGGCUCAGGAUGAACGCUAGCGACAGGCUUAACACAUGCAAGUCGAGGGGCAGCGGGGGUGAUGGCUUGCCAUCGCCUGCCGGCGACCGGCGCACGGGUGAGUAACACGUAUGCAACCUGCCCGCCACAGGGGGAUAAGCGGAAGAAAUUCCGUCUAAUACCGCGUGACGCGGCGCCGGGGCAUCCCGGUGCCGCCAAAGGGAUUACCGGUGGCGGAUGGGCAUGCGGCGCAUUAGCUAGUCGGCGGGGUAACGGCCCACCGAGGCGACGAUGCGUAGGGGUUCUGAGAGGAAGGUCCCCCACACUGGUACUGAGACACGGACCAGACUCCUACGGGAGGCAGCAGUGAGGAAUAUUGGUCAAUGGGCGCGAGCCUGAACCAGCCAAGUCGCGUGAGGGAUGACGGUCCUACGGAUUGUAAACCUCUUUUGCCGGGGAGCAAGCGUGCGUUCGUGAACGCGCGUCGAGAGUACCCGGAGAAAAAGCAUCGGCUAACUCCGUGCCAGCAGCCGCGGUAAUACGGAGGAAGCGAGCGUUAUCCGGAGUUAUUGGGUUUAAAGGGUGCGUAGGCGGGAUGCCAAGUCAGCGGUAAAAAUGCGGUGCUCAACGCCGUCGAGCCGUUGAAACUGGCGUUCUUGAGUGGGCGAGAAGUAUGCGGAAUGCGUGGUGUAGCGGUGAAAUGCAUAGAUAUCACGCAGAACUCCGAUUGCGAAGGCAGCAUACCGGCGCCCUACUGACGCUGAGGCACGAAAGCGUGGGUAUCGAACAGGAUUAGAUACCCUGGUAGUCCACGCAGUAAACGAUGAAUGCUAACUGUCCGGCUCGAAUGAGCGCUGGGCAGUACAGCGAAAGCGUAAGCAUUCCACCUGGGGAGUACGCCGGCAACGGUGAAACUCAAAGGAAUUGACGGGGGCCCGCACAAGCGGAGGAACAUGUGGUUUAAUUCGAUGAUACGCGAGGAACCUUACCCGGGCUCAAACGCAGGAUGACGGGUCCCGAAAGGGGUCUUUCUUCGGACAUUCUGCGAGGUGCUGCAUGGUUGUCGUCAGCUCGUGCCGUGAGGUGUCGGCUUAAGUGCCAUAACGAGCGCAACCCCUGUCCACAGUUGCCAGCAGGUAAAGCUGGGGACUCUGUGGAGACUGCCGGCGCAAGCUGCGAGGAAGGCGGGGAUGACGUCAAAUCAGCACGGCCCUUACGUCCGGGGCGACACACGUGUUACAAUGGCAGGUACAGCGGGAUGCCACGGGGCGACCCGGCGCUGAACCCGAAAACCUGUCUCAGUUCGGAUUGGAGUCCGCAACCCGACUCCAUGAAGCUGGAUUCGCUAGUAAUCGCGCAUCAGCCACGGCGCGGUGAAUACGUUCCCGGGCCUUGUACACACCGCCCGUCAAGCCAUGGAAGCCGGGGGUACCUGAAGUGCGUGACCGCGAGGAGCGCCCUAGGGUAAAACCGGUGACUGGGGCUAAGUCGUAACAAGGU
rnacentral:rRNA from 1 species